UGCAAUCUAUGAUGUAACUUUAUGUCAUGUUAUAUGAUUAUCUGUGAUUAUUUAUAUAAAAAUCACCUUCUUUCGGCUAAGAUUAGA